AUGGUAAUCCGCGUUUCCACACCCACCUUUUCUUCUUUUUCUUUUAUUUAUUUGUUUUAUCAGGCUUUCCUUCUCCUUCACUACAAGUCCUGUUGUCGCCACCUUUUUUUUUCUCCGCCAAGAUCUCGAGUGCCCAUUUGUUGAAGAGUCCCUACACGACCUUUUGCCACUCCGUCUCUGGUAUGUCUUGCUCACCCAGAUUUUCUUUUCUGCUUUCCUUUCGUUUUCUUUUUACGCCUGGAUAAAAUCUUGUAUUGGUUCUGUGGGCUUUACGUGUUGUUGACUUCUUUUUAGUUUGGAAAAUCCAAUUUGAGCAAGAGAUAUGGGGGAGAUCUGGGUUCGUAAUGAUUAGUGGAAGUAGUUUGAAUCAAUCAGAUUGGUCUGCAAUCUAGUUGUUGCUUAAGGAAUUAAGUACUGAAAUACAGUUUCUUGUUUGAUGUUCAGAGUUUUGUCUUCUUGCUAUUGCAGUCUAGUUUCUCGUGAUGUGUUCUAUAUUUCAUUCUUGGAUAGAGCUAUUUUUUCGUGGAUUACCUUUUGUUGAAUGAAAGAAAAAGGUGGAAUUUUGAUUGGGUGUAAGAGAAUGAAAUGGUCAAAGAUAGAUUUGUUUUAUAAAUCGGUAGCUACUUUCCAUUGUCAAUUGGUUGAAGUGUAACUGCAUGACAUUGUAAUGCUUUCUCGAGAGGUGGGAUCCUCAGAUGGUGAAAUUUUCAGCCCUGCAACUUAAUUGCUUCUGAUAGAAUUUCACCUCUGUUGUCCUUAUUGUCAUCGUUUUCCAAUUAUUUAUGAUUUGCGGUUCAUUAGGUUCAAUUUGAUCAGCAUUUGUUUGAUUGCUAAGAAAAUGAAAUAAAAAUUGCUGAAUUCUAUAAUUUAUGGGCAUAUUCGUCUGUAAAAAGAUUUUAGCUUUUGGAACCUGUGCAGAAUGCUAAUAUUGGUUAUUUUUUUAUUAAUAAUGCCAUCAGGUUUAUGUUAAGUUGGAUACAGGCUCCUGAUAUCAGGAAUGGGUUCUUCUGAUUGGUUUAAGACAAUAAUUAGUUUUAAAAAGGUGAAGGAAGAAAGUUCAAGACAAGCGAAGGUAUUGAUUCUCAAAACUUGGUAUUUUGUUUAAUUAAUUUUUUGUUUUUAAAAUUCAUUUUCAUAAUGAAUCCAUCUAAGUUUGCUGUUGUGAAGGUUGUUAUAAUUUGGUCAAUUGCCUUAAUUUUUUAUUUAAGAAAAAGUGCUCAUUAAUGUUCUACAUAGUAAACUUUAUCAGCUCAUUCUCAGCAUAGUGUCAACCCUAUAAUUCUCUGCCAGUGUCUAUGUUAACAGUGAAUGACAAUUUUGAACGUAAGGGGAAUGAAGGAUGUAAUUAUUAAUUUGGACAUCACUUCAUCUGUUCCUACAAUUUGAGACAGGGGUCUUCAGCUUCUGGAAAAUCAAAUGGCUUCAAAUGGAAGAACCAAUCACGCAAGGAGUCCGCUAGUUCUGCUGGUGGCAAUCCAGGAGUUAUUGAGGACUUGGCUGCCACUCGGAUUCAAACUGCAUUCAGGGCCUAUUUGGUAGAGUGGUGCGGUGACUCCGACACAAUGGAAGAAAUUCUUGCAAGAAUAAAUCAGAGGGAAGAAGCAGCUGUUAAGCGAGAGCGAACAAUGGCAUAUGCCUUUUCUCAUCAGUGGAGGGCCAACUCUAGCCAAAACCUUGGGUUGGUUAAUUAUGAACUUGGCAAAGCGAAUUGGGGUUGGAGCUGGAUGGAACGCUGGAUUGCUGCACGUCCAUGGGAAAGCCGAAUACCUGCUCAGUCCAUCACUCCAAAGAAAGUGCAGAGUAAACAGACAAACAAAGCUGGUAAAAACACCAAUUCACCAACUGCUAAAACCCCAGUUUCUUCUAAACCAUCUUUGUCCAAUGGGAAGGGAAAUGAUAAGGCCCGAAGAUUGUCAUAUCCAGCUGCUGAAAAAGGUGCUACACUUGAAGGAAGCAUUAAAACUGCAGAAGCCAAGGGAAAUCAUAAGGCCCGAAGAUUGUCAUAUUCAGCUGCUGAAAAAGGUGCUACACUUGAAGGAAGCAUUAAAACUGCAGAAGCCAAGGGAAAUCAUAAGGCCCGAAGAUUGUCAUAUUCAGCUGCUGAAAAAGGUGCUACACUUGAAGAAAGCAUUAAAACCGAAGAAGCAAAAUCUAAAGGGGAACAGUUAGUAUCUUAGUCCCUAGCCAGUACAUAAAGUGGAAAGCUUAAUCUUCAGCAAGUCAUGGUAAGGGAAGAUUCUUUUAUCCAUAUGUUUGUUUCUGAUUGUGUACAACAGGAGUGGCGUGAUUGUGAUAUACUUCUGCAUGCAAUGCAGAACAUUACACAAAGCCUGGAUAUGGGACUCAGCUGAUCAUUCUUCUGUGUUUUUUCUGUUCCUUUUUUUACCUCAAAAAAAUUUCUCUGAUUUUGUUUUUUUUUGAAAAAUAAUUUGUUUCUAUAAUGUAAAUAGGCAGAGGCACAGAGCAUUGUUGGAGUAAUUGCUGGAGUUUUGAGUCUGUAGAUGUAAAAUCCAAGUUAUGAACAAUGUCUGAACUUUUUGUGUUUGAUUCUUUAUGCCUAUUGUGAGGUUCUGCAAAUUCCAUUAAUUCUUAUCUUUUUGUAUCAAAAUUCUCUAUUAACAUAUCUCAAUGAAGAGUGAAAACCAAUGUCAACAGAUGAACUUCUGC
rnacentral:misc_RNA from 1 species